UGUUUAGGUUGGUUUUGCGGAGUCAUUGCUCUACUCUAAGUCCAGUUAUGAAUACGGUUUCGGACAUGGCCCACAGAGGGUGAAAGGCCCGUGUGAGUAGAGUUGUCGGCAGUGAUUCCCUGAAUCGACCUUGGAGUCGGGUUGUUUGAGAAUGCAGCCCAAAGUGGGUGGUAAACUCCAUCCAAGGCUCAAUACUGGCACGAGUCCGAUAGCGAACAAGUACCGUGAGGGAAAGUUGAAAAGUACUCUGAAGAGAGAGUAAACAGUGCGUGAAACCGCUCAGAGGUAAACGGGUAGAGUUGAACUGCAAGCCCUUGAGAUUCAGCUGAUGAGCUUGGCUUGAGCUUGGUCAUGUUGAUCUGGCGUUGAGGUCUGCGGCAUUGCAGGUUACUGCUUUGGCAGUGAUUCGAGCUGUACUGGUCAGGUACUGCGUGCCUCUUCGUCGGUGGUCGGCUCGUCAGUGCACUUCUCCUGGGUGUUCACCACGACCGGCGCUGCUGUCUGUCUGCAUUGGCUGAACUAGCAUAGCUUAGUCCUUGUGGCUUUGUUUUGUUGGGAUGGCAGGUAGCUUGUUAGCUUUCGGGCUUUCGAGUGUAAUCAGCCAGUCAGUGUGGAUCUGUGCAGUGCGUCGGAGAUGGCGGCUAUUAGUGGCGUGGGUGAUCGGCCUGUUGUCGGUGUCGGAUCUGGUUGUCAUGUGCCUGCCAAUGUGUAGGCCUGGCGAUGGUCUGGCUCUGAAUGACGGGCGAUUGUUCGUGCUGCGAAUUUAUGGGCCGAUAGUCUGUGGUGUAGUGGUAAGCUCUCUACCCGACCCGUCUUGAAACACGGACCAAGGAGUUUAACAUGUACGCGAGUCAUUGGGUGUUCGAAACCUACAGGCGCAAUGAAAGUGAAGGUCCGGCUUGCCCGGAUUGAGGUGAGAUCUAGUCGUUACUUAUGCCUGGAACUACCAAGCAUUCGAGCGGCUGGCGCAUCACCGGCCCGUCCCAUGGUGUGGUCAUGGUUCCUUGUGGACUGUGCGUCACCGGGGUGGAGCAUGAGCGUACAUGUUGAGACCCGAAAGAUGGUGAACUAUGCUUGUGUAGGUUGAAGCCAGAGGAAACUCUGGUGGAGGACCGCAGCGAUUCUGACGUGCAAAUCGAUCGUCAAAC
rnacentral:rRNA from 1 species